rnacentral:rRNA from 1 species
AGAUAAUAGAUACCCGGGUAGUCCACGCCCUAAACGAUGUCUACUAGUUGUUGGUGGAGUAAAAUCCAUGAGUAAACGCAGCUAAACGCGUGAAGUAGACCGCCUGGGGAGUACGGUCGCAAGAUUAAAACUCAAAGGAAUUGACGGGGGCCGCACAAGCGGUGGAUUAUGUGGAUUAAAUUCGAUGCAACGCGAAAAACCUUAACCUGGCCUUGACAUGCCACUAACGAAGCAGAGAUGCAUUAGGUGCCCGUAACGGGAAAGUGGACACAGGUGCUGCAUGGCUGUCGUCAGCUCGUGUCGUGAGAUGUUGGGUUAAGUCCCGCAACGAGCGCAACCCUUGCCAUUAAUUGCCAUCA